UACGUAGGGUGCGAGCGUUAAUCGGAAUGACUGGCGUAAAGGCGCGUAGGCGAUGGCACAGUCAGAUGUGAAUCCGGCUACUGGGCUGCAUUGAUACGUGUGUCUGAGUCGAGAGGUCGUGAUCAGUGUAGAGUGAAUUCGUAGAUAUGAGACACGUGCGAGCGCGACUGUCGACACUGACGCUGAGCGCGAGCGUGGAGCAACAGAUGAGACCUGUAGUCAGACAGAUCUCUGCUACGU
rnacentral:rRNA from 1 species